UACGGGGGGAGCAAGCGUUGUUCGGAUUUACUGGCGUAAAGGGCGCGUAGGCGGUCAGCACAAGUCAGUUGUGAAAUCUCCGGGCUUAACUCGGAAAGGUCAACUGAUACUGUGCGACUAGAGUGCAGAAGGGGCAACUGGAAUUCUCGGUGUAGCGGUGAAAUGCGUAGAUAUCGAGAGGAACACCUGCGGCGAAGGCGGGUUGCUGGGCUGACACUGACGCUGAUGCGCGAAAGCCAGGGCAGGCGAACGGG
rnacentral:rRNA from 1 species